rnacentral:rRNA from 1 species
GCAGUAGCCGCGGGAAUACGUAGGUGGCAAGCGUUGUCCGGAAUUAUUGGGCGUAAAGGGCUCGCAGGCGGUUUCUUAAGUCUGAUGUGAAAGCCCCCGGCUCAACCGGGGAGGGUCAUUGGAAACUGGGAAACUUGAGUGCAGAAGAGGAGAGUGGAAUUCCACGUGUAGCGGUGAAAUGCGUAGAGAUGUGGAGGAACACCAGUGGCGAAGGCGACUCUCUGGUCUGUAACUGACGCUGAGGAGCGAAAGCGUGGGGAGCGAACAGGAUUAGAUACCCCGGUAGUCCCUGUCUCUUAUAC